CGUGCAGGUCACAGGGAUAUGAUGGCUUAGCUUGGGCUCAGAGGCCUGACACCUGAGAGGCAGAGGUUACAGUCAGCUGAGAUCACCCCACUGCACUCCAGCCUGGAUGACAGAGCGAGACUCCACCUAAAAAAAAAAAAAAAAUUUACACAGGUUGAACAUCCCUUACUCGAAAAUCUGAAAUCUGAAAUGCUCCAAAAUGCAAAACGCUUUGAACACUAACAUGAUGCCACAAGUGGAAAAUUUCACGCCUGACCUAAUGUGAUGGGUUGUAGUACAAACACAGGUGUCCCAAUUUCUAAGCACAACAAAUUACCCCUGCCUGGAUUGCCUUAGCUGGCCAAGUGGAGAAGAACAUGCCAGCUGCCCUCCAAAAUUUUAUCCAAGAACAGAGCUGAAGCAAAACCAACUUCUCAGAACUGGAAGGAGUUUGUACUAGAGAGAACAGUUUACCGAUAACUUCAGUUUUUAAAUGAUUCACAUUGGCUACAAUAGCCAAAAAAUAGUGGACUCCACCAAGGCACUUGUGCUGAAAGCUUGGAUUUCAAGCUGAGAGAAUUAAAGUGUUCAAAUUUCAAUGUUGGUUGGCUUGACAUUUUUCUACCUGAAUGUUUUGGCUAUUCAGCGAACAGCUUGCAUAGCCUGUAUGGUUACCAUGGAGCCCAUGGUAGACUGAAUACCGCUUAAAUCUUCUAAAUCCUCCUGUUAAAGGAUUUUAUCCCACUCUCUGCUUCUUCCAACAAAAUAAAAUUUGAAUGGUGGCAGUCAGUAGGUGACUCAGAACAAGUUAUUGAUUUUCAGUUUCUCAACUUAUAAAACAGAGAUGUGAUUUCUUAUUUUAUAACAUUUUGCUAAGUAUCUUAUCAGUAAUUAGGUUUUGAUAUCUAUAAAAUACACUGAAUUCCUUAGAAUUAAUGCUCUCUGGUGUUUCUAAUUUGAAAAAAAACCUUAAAAUAUCUAUAAUGAAAUACACAAAUAAUAUCUGGUAAUUCUGCUAAAUGUGUAAUUUUUAAAAUAUUUUUAAUUUCAAAAAUAAAUAAAUUAGAAAGUAACACCUUGAUUUCUUUCUCUCAGGACUAGAAAGACAGUUCUGUGUUGUUAUUGCAGUUCUUUCUUUUGCCUUAAUCAUUGAUUCAUCUUUAAUUUAUCAGGCAGCAUUUUCCCAAGGGAUCUAAGACACUUUAUUUUUAGUGUAAGAGAUUUGUAAUUUUUUUCUCUCUGUUUUAAAAAAUAUGCAAUUAUCCACACAUAAACUAAUAAGAAAUGUCAUACUGGUACACAUCUCAGCUUUACUGGCUAGAGAAUUCUGUCCCUAUAAACAGUAUAAACAAAUGGUUUGUGGGAGGGCAUGUUUGCCCUCCAUUAUGUUAACUGUAGAAUGUCAAGACAUUUUCUCCAGAGCUUGUUGGGAAUCUAUCAGCCAUGCAGGUACCUAAAUGUUUUUAAAUACAUUUAUUUCAACCUAUACUGAAUGUCGAAGUAAUACAUUUCCAUAAUUUUAAUAUCCAUUAUGUAAAAUUCUAGUUCCAUUUCCUUGUUUUACAUUUUUCUUCUUUUAAAUCUCAAAGGAUGCCCCCAUUCUAGUUCCACAGGAGUCAGUGAACAAGUCCGUGUGAAUUACCCUUUGCAGAUCUUUCAUAUUAUGAAUUUUGAUUAAAA
rnacentral:lncRNA from 1 species